GUGGAGCAUGUUGCUUAAUUCGAGACAACGCGAAGAACCUUAUCCUGGAUUUGACAUGCUUGUAUUAGCUCUGUGAAAGCAGAGUGACGCCUUCGGGUGGAACUUGCACAGGUGCUGCAUGGCUGUCGUCAGCUCGUGCUGUGAAGUGUCGGGUUAAGUCCCUUAACGAGCGCAACCCCUAUCGUUAGUUACUAACGCGUUAUGGCGAGGACUCUAACGAGACUGCCGGUGUCAAACCGGAGGAAGGUGGGGAUGACGUCAAGUCCUCAUGGCCUUUAUGACCAGGGCUGCACACGUCCUACAAUGGCGCGUACAAAGAGAUGCGAACUCGUGAGAGCAAGCUAAUCCCAUAAAGCGCGCCUCAGUUCGGAUUGCAGGCUGCAACUCGCCUGCAUGAAGCCGGAAUCGCUAGUAAUCGCAGGUCAGCUAUACUGCGGUGAAUAUGUUCCUGAGCCUUGUACACACCGCCCGUCAAGCCACGAAAGCUGGGAGUACCCGAAGUCGUGUACCCAACCGCAAGGAGGGAAGCGCCGACGGUAAGCUCAGUGAUUGGGACUAAGUCGUAACAAGGUAGCCGUAGGAGAACCUGCGGCUGGAUCACCUCCUU
rnacentral:rRNA from 16 species